GACGAACGCUGGCGGCGUGCUUAACACAUGCAAGUCGAACGGUAAGGCCCCAGCUUGCUGGGGUCCACGAGUUGCGAACGGGUAAGUAACACGUGGGUUACCUGCCCUUCACUUCGGGAUAAGCCUGGGAAACUGGGUCUAAUACCGGAUAGGACCAUGGUGUGGAUACUGUGGUGGAAAGUUUUUUCGGUGUGGGAUGGGCACGCGGCUUAUCAGCUUGUUGGUGGGGUAUUGGCCUACCAAGGCGGCGACGGGUAGCCGGCCUGAGAGGGUGGACGGCCACACUGGGACUGAGACACGGCACAGACUCCUACGGGAGGCAGCAGUGGGGAAUAGUGCACAAUGGGCGGAAGGCUGAUGCAGCGACGCAGCGUGGGGGAUGACGGGCUUCGGGUUGUAAACUCCUUUCACCAUCGACGAAGGGUUUCUGACGGUAGAUGGAGAAGAAGCACCGGCUAACUACGUG
rnacentral:rRNA from 1 species